rnacentral:rRNA from 1 species
UCCGUAGGUGAACCUGCGGAAGGAUCAUUAUCGAAUAAACCUGAUGUGGUCGUAGCUGGCCCUUUCGAGGGUAUGUGCACACCCGUCAUCUUUAUCUUUCCACCUGUGCACCUUUUGUAGACCUGGAUGUAACACUUUCCGAGGCAACUCGGUCGGGAGGAAUGCUGUCAGCUUUCCUUGAAUGUCCAGGCCUAUGUUUUCACAUACCCCAAAGAAUGUAACAGAAUGUAUUAUUGGGCCUUGUGCCCAUAAACUAUAUACAACUUUCAGCAACGGAUCUCUUGGCUCUCGCAUCGAUGAAGAACGCAGCGAAAUGCGGUAAGUAAUGUGAAUUGCAGAAUUCAGUGAAUCAUCGAAUCUUUGAACGCACCUUGCGCUCCUUGGUAUUCCGAGGAGCAUGCCUGUUUGAGUGUCAUUAAAUUCUCAACCUUAUCAGCUUUUGUUGGUAAUGGCUUGGAUGUGGGGGUCUUUUGCUGGCUUCGUGAAGAGGUCUGCUCCCCUUAAAUGCAUUAGCCGGUGCCCCGCGUGGAUCCGUCUAUUGGUGUGAUAAUUAUCUACGCCGUGGACGUCUGCUUUAAAUGGGAUGCACUGCUUCUAACCGUCCGUUCAGUUGGACAAUCAAUGACAAUUUGACCUCAAAUCAGGUAGGACUACCCGCUGAACUUAAGCAUACA